UACGUAGGGUCCGAGCGUUGUCCGGAAUUACUGGGCGUAAAGAGCUCGUAGGUGGUUUGUCGCGUUGUUCGUGAAAACUCACAGCUCAACUGUGGGCGUGCGGGCGAUACGGGCAGACUUGAGUACUGCAGGGGAGACUGGAAUUCCUGGUGUAGCGGUGGAAUGCGCAGAUAUCAGGAGGAACACCGGUGGCGAAGGCGGGUCUCUGGGCGAGUUCCUGACGCUGGAGGCACGAAAGCGUGGGGAGCGAACAGG
rnacentral:rRNA from 1 species